CUCUUGCUCUCUCUCUCUCUCUCUCUCUCUCUCAAAAAUAAAUAUUUUUUUAAAAAAUGACCAUCAGUGGCAGAGUUUGACAACCCACCAGUACACAUCAAACCAAUGCAAUUUAACACUCAACCUCCCAAAUGCUGACCACAAAUAGUCCUCCUCGCCCUGAAACAGCCAUUUGAAUUUUUUUUUUAAGUGGCACUGAAAUGACCACAAUGAUUUCAUCCUCUUCCCAUGACUUCAUGAGUCACCAGCCUAUCUCUGUAGACCAGCACAUUCCUAAUGAGUCUAUUAUUAAAAUUAAUUAGUACUGAGUUUGGCCACGGGGGGGCUAGCAGUACAAAAAUGUGAUGACUGACCCCGGGACUAAAAAUUAAAAGCUCUUAUUAAGAGGCACAAGGACUAGUAAGGACACAUUCAGAUCCUUUUAUUUUAGAUUUCAUAAGUAACAAGGUCCCAGUAUGAUACAUGAGCCCCAUAAUGCAUUAGUUGUAUCAUUAGACACUACAAUGACUCAAUGCCCUCAAUCCUUCUUUCAAUGUGUUGCCUUAGUACAAAACAAGAAUAUUUCAUCUGUGCUUAUCUGAAACUAAUUGCAAUUUUCCAGUUCUUCACACACUUGCAGAAAACAGCUAUGGUUAAACUAAAGCUAAUAUUUUUCCUAGGUAAGAAAGAACUCUAUUUGUCAGGGGUAUGCCAUAACUGCAGAAGCAAUGAGACCUCAUAAAAAUGACAAGUCUGGAAGCGCCAGAUGAAUGGGAUUUAGAGAGCCACGCGAACCAGAAGCACAAGGCUGCAGUUUCAGGAAGCAGAGGAACUGAGGAAAACAGAACCCCGGAGUCAGAGAGGCACCGCGAGGCUAAUCCAGAGGUCAGGCAUGGCCCAGGGAAACUUCUCUCACUGCCUUCUCCUUGUCUAUCAUGGCAGCAGAAACCAAACUCUGGGCCUGGGCAGCGUGGAAGAGGACAGCAGAGCUGACAGAGAGCAAAGGCACCCUUCACAGAAGCUCAACUAUUUUUUAACAGUAAAAAGCAAACGAGCAAACACGACUGGAGUCAUCACUCCAACUCCUGGGCAACGGCCAAGGUAAUUCAGUCUCAAUGAGUCAAGGAAUGGCAUUUCAAACUGAGGGAAACCAAGUAUAAAUUAUUUCUAGGAUUUCCAGGGCUCUGUCCUGCACUGUACAGGUGGCAGCCAAGUAGAGAGAAAGGCCUCUUAGAAACCCUUGGCGGGGGGGGGGGGGGAUGAAGACUUAAUUAAGGGGUAUUGGGAAAUACUGGUUUAAGACGUUAUCUCGGUAUCUCUAUAUCUGUACCUCUGGUACGAAACUGGGUCUGUGCAAUUUAAAAUGUUUCCAAUGGUGAUUUUCACCUUUUUU